UGCAUUCACUACUGUAAGUCGCUCUUGAUAAUAGCGUCUGCUAAAUGACUCAAA
rfam:Salmo salar isolate Sally breed double haploid chromosome ssa26, whole genome shotgun sequence.